UACGUAGGGUGCAAGCGUUGUCCGGAAUUAUUGGGCGUAAAGAGCUCGUAGGUGGCGGGUCACGUCGGGUGUGAAAGCCCGGGGCUUAACUCCGGGUCUGCAUUCGAUACGGGUCUGCUGGGGUCCGGCAGGGGAGACUGGAAUUCCUGGUGUAGCGGUGAAAUGCGCAGAUAUCAGGAGGAACACCGGUGGCGAAGGCGGGUCUCUGGGCCGAUACUGACACUGAGGAGCGAAAGCGUGGGGAGCGAACAGG
rnacentral:rRNA from 1 species